UACGUAGGGACCAAGCGUUGUUCGGAUUUACUGGGCGUAAAGGGUGCGUAGGUGGUUGAUUAAGUUAUCUGUGAAAUCCCCGGGCUCAACCUGGGCAGGUCAGAUAAUACUGGUUAACUCGAGUAUGGGAGAGGGUAGUGGAAUUUCCGGUGUAGCGGUGAAAUGCGUAGAGAUCGGAAGGAACACCAGUGGCGAAGGCGGCUACCUGGCCCAAUACUGACACUGAGGCACGAAAGCGUGGGGAGCAAACAGG
rnacentral:rRNA from 1 species